rnacentral:tRNA from 1 species
GCGUUCGUGGUGUAAUGGUCAGCAUGGGUGCCUUCCAAGCAUUCGACGGGGGUUCGAUUCCCCCCGAACGCA